rnacentral:misc_RNA from 1 species
AAGUCGUAACAAGGUUUCCGUAGGUGAACCUGCGGAAGGAUCAUUAGUGAAUUUUAGGGUGCUCUCUCGUCUCUGUUUAACUCAGAGUGCGUAGAGGGGCCUGACCUCCACUUUCUACCCUGUGCACUAUUAAUGGCUCUUGGAAAGGACAAGCUGGCUCUUCUGGAGCCUUCUUUCCCGACCCUUUGCCGUUUCAUUUCAUAAACAUGAGUUUAAGAAUGUCAUAAAAACAUAACAAAAAAAAA